rnacentral:rRNA from 1 species
GAUGAACGCUGGCGGCGUGCUUAACACAUGCAAGUCGAACGGUGAAGGCGGAGCUUGCUCUGCUGGAUCAGUGGCGAACGGGUGAGUAACACGUGAGCAAUCUGCCCCUGACUCUGGGAUAAGCGCUGGAAACGGCGUCUAAUACUGGAUACGAGCUGCGAAGGCAUCUUCAGCAGCUGGAAAGAAUUUCGGUCAGGGAUGAGCUCGCGGCCUAUCAGCUUGUUGGUGAGGUAAUGGCUCACCAAGGCGUCGACGGGUAGCCGGCCUGAGAGGGUGACCGGCCACACGGGGACUGAGACACGGCCCAGACUCCUACGGGAGGCAGCAGUGGAGAAUAUGGCGCAAUGGGCGAAAGCCUGAUGCAGCAACGCCGCGUGAGGGACGACGGCCCUCGGGUUGUAAACCUCUUUUAGCAGGGAAGAAGCGAAAGUGACGGUACCUGCAGAAAAAGCGCCGGCUAACUACGUG